rnacentral:rRNA from 1 species
AGAGUUUGAUCCUGGCUUAGGAUGAACGCUGGCGGCGUGCUUAAUACAUGCAAGUCGAACGGAGUUGUGAUGUGAGCGAGAGAAAGCUUGCUUUUAAUCAAUCUUUUCAUAACUUAGUGGCGGACGGGUGAGUAACGCGUGGGUAACCUGCCCUGUACAGGGGGAUAACGGCUGGAAACGGCCGCUAAAACCGCAUAACGUCGGAAUACCGCAUGAUGUUCCGGCCAAAUAUUUAUAGGUACAGGAUGGGCCCGCGUCUGAUUAGUUAGAUGGUGAGGUAACGGCCCACCAUGGCGACGAUCAGUAGCCGUACUGAGAGGUAGAACGGCCACAUUGGGACUGAGACACGGCCCAAACUCCUACGGGAGGCAGCAGUAGGGAAUAUUGGUCAAUGGGGGAAACCCUGAACCAGCCGACGCCGCGUGAGUGAAGAAGUAUUUCGGUAUGUAAAGCUCUAUCAGCAGGGACGAUGAUGACGGUACCUGACUAAGAAGCCCCGGCUAACUACGUGCCAGCCGCGGC